rnacentral:rRNA from 1 species
AACAAACGCUGGCGGCGUGCCUAACACAUGCAAGUCGAACGAGAAAGUCGGUUUCGGCCGAUGAGUAAAGUGGCGCACGGGUGAGUAACGCGUGGAUAAUCUACCCUUUAGUCCGGAAUAACUUGCCGAAAGGUGAACUAAUACCGGAUGACAUCCCGGGUUCUCCGGAAACCGGGAUCAAAGAAGGCCUCUGCUUGCACGCUUUUACUGAAGGUUGAGUCCGCGGAACAUUAGCUAGUUGGUAGGGUAAUGGCCUACCAGGGCGACGAUGGUUAGCGGGUCUGAGAGGAUGAUCAGCCACACUGGAACUGAGACACGGUCCAGACUCCUACGGGAGGCAGCAGUGAGGAAUCUUGCGCAAUGGGGGAAACCCUGACGCAGCAACGCCGCGUGAGUGAGGAAGGUCUUCGGGUCGUAAAGCUCUGUCAGGCGGGAAGAAAUGCAUGGAGGUGAACAGCCGCCAUGCUUGACGGUACCGCCAGAGGAAGCACCGGCUAACUCCGUGCCAGCCGCCGCCGUAAUAC